GAAAUGCGUUAAGUAAUGUGAAUUGCAGAAUUCAGUGAAUCAUCGAAUCUUUGAACGCACAUUGCGCCCCCUGGCAUUCCGGGGGGGCAUGCCUGUUCGAGCGUCAUUACACCACUCAAGCCUGGCUUGGUAUUGAGCGCCGCGGCCUGCCCGCGCGCUCCAAUGUCUCCGGCUGAGCCGUCCGUCUCUAAGCGUUGUGAAUAGCGAUCGCUUGCGAGGCCCGGGCGGUUCAACGCCGUUAAACCCCCCAUUUUCUAUGGUUGACCUCGGAUCAGGUAGGGAUACCCGCUGAACUUAAGC
rnacentral:misc_RNA from 1 species